rnacentral:lncRNA from 1 species
CAGGUUAUCUCCAGUGAUGACAUUAGCCAACCCUGUACUGAGUCAAGCCACAGAGGAAAAGUACGGAUUCUUCUUCAUAAGGCCACUGGUUUCUGUCUUCCUGAAUAAUGUGAGCAAACAGAAAACUUCCUCUCUGCACCCAUCAAGUUUCCAUCUCAAUGAACCCCACAUGCGUCCUUGAAAGUGAAGAGCCUUCCAUUGAAUCCCGUUAUAAUCUGAAAAUGGGAAUACAAGGUACCUGGAUCAUUUCUUAUUCAACAAAAAAUCAUUACUUCUGUGCUGGUUUAGUGCCAUGCUUGGUGUAGAAAUGAAAAAAAAUAAAACAACGGAACCUACCUAUGGCUUUCGUA